rnacentral:rRNA from 1 species
AUUGAACGCUGGCGGCAGGCCUAACACAUGCAAGUCGAGCGGCAGCGGGAAGUAGCUUGCUACUUUGCCGGCGAGCGGCGGACGGGUGAGUAAUGUCUGGGAAACUGCCCGAUGGAGGGGGAUAACGACUGGAAACGGUAGCUAAUACCGCCUAACGUCGCAAGACCAAAGAGGGGGACCUUCGGGCCUCUUGCCAUCGGAUGUGCCCAGAUGGGAUGAGCUGGUAGGUGGGGUAACGGCUCACCUAGGCGACGAUCCCUAGCUGGUCUGAGAGGAUGACCAGCCACACUGGAACUGAGAUACGGGCCAGACUCCUACGGGAGGCAGCAGUGGGGAAUAUUGCACAAUGGGCGCAAGCCUGAUGCAGCCAUGCGGCGUGUAUGAAGAAGGCCUUCGGGUUGUAAAGUACUUUCAGCGGGGAGGAAGGUGUUGAGGUUAAUAACCUCAGCAAUUGACGUUACCCGCAGAAGAAGCACCGGCUAACUCCGUGCCAGCCGCCGCCGUAA